AUUCUAAAGGGCAGUUGCUAAGUUGCUUUCCAAGAGACCGGGCCCUGCUGACCAGAGGAGCCCAGGCUUCUCUGAGCACAUGGUGCAGCACAAUCUCAGGGCAAGCAGAGGUCUAGAGAGUUCAUGCCCUUAGAAGCAGACCUGGACAAUGAUGUACAGUGAGACAUCAACCAGUUCUGCUUGUGAAGCAGCUCAAACCAAGACAACAGGUCCAGUGCUUGGCAGGACCAUGACCGGUGCACUGUCUUCCUGGUCAUGCUCUGAUUGGAGGAUUAUCCUUGGCCAGUGGUUCUCACCAGGAAAAGUGUGCUCUCCUGGGUCCCCUGCAAACCAACAAGGUGCCCGAAGAUGGUGUAAAAACACAGAUUUGUCCCACCUGGUUUCACCCCACUUUCCUCUCUGGUCCCAGACCUCAGGGUCUGGACAUUUCUGCCAGGGAACAUCUGUUCUGCAGAGCAGCCGGGACUCCCCCUGCCACCCCCCACCAAGGAGUGGUUCUAAGUUAGCUUCUCACAUGGAAGAAAAGCAGCUGUCACUGAAGCCACGUCAAUCUGAGCGGUAAAAGGUUUGGGCAAAAACAUAUUUUAUUGUUCUUGCUGUCAGAAACAUAAAGAUUGAAGGGGCAUGUGACUCGGUAA